GUGCUUGCUUCGGCAGCACAUGUACUAAAAUUGGACAGAUACUGAGAAGAUUAGCAUGGCCCCUGUACAGGGAUGACAGGCAAAUUUGUGAAGCGUCCCAUAUUUUU